UAAUGAUUGGACCAUUACACUAGAUCUAACUGCUUAGUAUUUAGUCACGAGAAAAGUCUUUGUAAGGUAAUUUCUCUGCAAUUUGCAAUGACAUGUUUAAUAUAUUAAAUAUAUCACUGAUCACUGAUGGCACUGAAGACAAUGCCUGAGUUCUAGAGCUUUAUUUAGGAAACUCUAUUCUUGUAUUUAAAAUUGCAGCAGGCAACCAAACGCUAUUGUCGAUGUUUUUAAUAUUGUACUUGAAAUUUAUCUAUUUUUGUCUUGUAUAUAGCUGAUGGAACCCAAUGAGGCAAUGACCAGUAUGAGGAAUGGACUGAUUUCAGGGAAAGAAGAGAUUAUUUCAUUGGGCUGAUUGGCACCCAAAAUUAAUUUUUACAAUAUUGAGUCAGUUGGGUUCAUGGCUUGUUUGACAUUCAUAAAACAUGGCGUAUUUGUGUGCAACACUUCAGGACAAAGGAAAUGUGUAUUAUUGCAUUACAGAUUUAAUAUGAGAUCUAUACAUCUUGGUAGCCAAGUUGGUUGAAGGAUAGCCCAAAGACAUUUCAGUUAAUGGUAUGGUGGACAUAUCUGAAGAUGUUGUCCCCAAACCCAUAAUUCCCACAAGAAUGACCAGAUCAUCUGGUACCAACAUUUUAUCCUUCCACCCACAGAAAGCAGGACUUUGUCUAGCACUUUCCAGAGCUUGUAUUUCUCAUGUGUAACAAACUGUCUUCCAGCAGACUUAAGAGAACCUAACACAUUCUUAAAG